rnacentral:tRNA from 1 species
GCCGGACUGGCGGGGUUUGGCCUGUCGUUGGUGUAUCCGGCACUGGGCGUGGAGGCGAUCAAGCAGGUACCGAGUUCCAGUCGCGGUGCCGGGUU